rfam:Streptomyces griseofuscus strain NG1-7 NG1-17_2_1, whole genome shotgun sequence.
CUUCAGCGAGCCCAGCCACAGCGGCUGCCCCUCGGGCCGCUCCCGUCCAUAGGUGGCGAGGAGUGCCUGCGCCUC